rnacentral:lncRNA from 10 species
CUACAGGUGGAAGCCGAAGCUCCAGCUGAAAACCAAAACAGGUCAGCCUCCGCGACACAGGAGUCUCAUCCAGUCUAUGAAGGCCGGAGAGAAAGGAGAGAAAGGAGGAUGGAAUCCUGCCUGCAGGCAUCUUUGGAUUUGAGUGGCUACUUCGGCUCCUCCUGCGUCCCCAGCCUGCCUGCCUGCCGUAGUCAUGUGAGCCAAUUUCUCCAAGUAAGUUUCUCUCUCUCUGUCUCCACAUUCUAUUGGUUCUUUUUUUUUUUUUCUUUUUUUGAGACGGAGUUUUGUUCUUGUUGUUUAGGCUGGAGUGCAAUGGCGCGAUCUCGGCUCACUGCAACUUCCAUCUCCUGGGUUCAAGCAAUUCUCCUGCCUCAACCUCCCAAGUACCUGAGAUUACAGGCAUGCGCCACCACCCACGGCUAAUUUUGUAUUUUUAGUAUAGAUGGGGUUUCUCCAUGUUGGUCAGGCUGGUCUCGAACUCCUGACCUCAAGUGAUCUGCUUGUCCUGACCUCCCAAAGUGCUGGGAUUACAGGCAUGAGCCACCACUCCCGGCCUAUUGGUUCUAUUUCUCUAGAGAACUCUCACUACUACAGCUACACCUCCCUGGGCCUCAGUUUCCCCUUCUGUCCAUCAGCGAGGCCGAAGGCUGCCAUGGGCUGAGGUCUCACACCCGGCGCUCCUGCCCCUGCCCCUGAUUCCGGGGCAGCCUGCAUAGGCCAGGCAGUGGUCGAGGCCCACUUUCCCCGCCCAGCAACUGUGGUUCAGCGGUUCAGCGGCUGACCUCCCAGCCCAGAAACAGAAACUCUUUUUCUCUUGCAAAACAGAAAGUGUCCCCAUUAAACACUCACUUCCC